GACGAACCGUCCAAACGUUAUUCGGAAUCACUGGGCUUACAGAGUUCGUAGGCGGUCUGUCGCGUCUGCUGUGAAAACUCGGGGCUUAACCCCGGGCCUGCAGUGGGUACGGGCAGACUAGAGUGCGGUAGGGGAGACUGGAAUUCCUGGUGUAGCGGUGAAAUGCGCAGAUAUCAGGAGGAACACCGGUGGCGAAGGCGGGUCUCUGGGCCGUAACUGACGCUGAGGAGCGAAAGCGUGGGGAGCGAACAGG
rnacentral:rRNA from 1 species